GAUGAACGCUGGCGGCGUGCCUAAUACAUGCAAGUCGAGCGAACGGACGAGAAGCUUGCUUCUCUGAUGUUAGCGGCGGACGGGUGAGUAACACGUGGAUAACCUACCUAUAAGACUGGGAUAACUUCGGGAAACCGGAGCUAAUACCGGAUGAUAUUUUGAACCGCAUGGUUCAAAAGUGAAAGACGGUCUUGCUGUCACUUAUAGAUGGAUCCGCGCUGCAUUAGCUAGUUGGUAAGGUAACGGCUUACCAAGGCAACGAUGGAUAGCCGCCCUGAAAGGGUGAUCGGCCACACGGGAACUGAGACACGUUCCAGACUCCGACGGGAGGCAGCAGUAGGGAAUCUUCCGCAAUGGACGAAAGCCUGACGGAGCAACGCCGCGUGAAUGAUGAAGGUCUUCGGAUCGUAAAACUCUGUUAUUAGGGAAGAACAUAUGUGUAAGUAACUGUGCACAUCUUGACGGUACCUAAUCAGAAAGCCACGGCUAACUACGUG
rnacentral:rRNA from 1 species